UCCACACCGGCGAGAAGCCCUACCCGUGCA
rnacentral:piRNA from 1 species